rnacentral:pre_miRNA from 1 species
UCUUAUCGAUGAGCAAAGAAAGUAGUUUCUUGAGAUGGAAUCUACUCCUGCUGAUUGGGUGCUGUGAA